ACUCCUACGGGAGGCAGCAGUGGGGAAUAUUGCACAAUGGGGGAAACCCUGAUGCAGCCAUGCCGCGUGUGUGAAGAAGGCCUUCGGGUUGUAAAGCACUUUCAGUAGGGAGGAAGGUAGUGUAGUUAACACCUGCACUAUUUGACGUUACCUACAGAAGAAGCACCGGCUAACUCCGUGCCAGCAGCCGCGGUAAUACGGAGGGUGCGAGCGUUAAUCGGAAUUACUGGGCGUAAAGCGCAUGCAGGCGGCCUGUUAAGUCAGAUGUGAAAGCCCGGGGCUUAACCUCGGAAUUGCAUUUGAAACUGGCAGGCUAGAGUCUUGUAGAAGGGGGGUAGAAUUUCAGGUGUAGCGGUGAAAUGCGUAGAGAUCUGAAGGAAUACCAGUGGCGAAGGCGGCCCCCUGGACAAAAGACUGACGCUCAGAUGCGAAAAGCGUGGGGGAGCAAACAGGAUUAGAUACCCUGGUAGCACAGAG
rnacentral:rRNA from 1 species